UUUUCAGUGUGUAAACACGGGUCCACAAAUGCCAGGUUAUCCAUUAUUAGGUAGGUCUUCCAGUCCAGGAUUAUGGAACACUAAAUUUUAGAUUGCCCCCUAUAAAAGCUCAUUUCCUCUUUUUUUUUAUUUAAACCAUCUCAAGCCAAGCUGCCCCCCACUCCUCCACCAACAACCCGCGGCCAGCAUCCCCGGGGAAAGGCUGUUGACCACGGCCCAAGGUUAAGACAAGCUGAACAAAGCAGCCAAUCAGCGGAGGAGGGCUCCGGGGUGCUGAUGCUCGGAGACAAAUAGUACGGUGCCGAGCGGAUCGAUGACUACUUGAUUGCGCAUGAAUACAACAUACAUGUUGCCAAUGCUUUGCCAGCGCUCCCAGCGGGCGCCCAUGCAGAUCAGAGAGCGUAGGAAGAACUGAUAAGGGAUCCCCCGUGUGCAAACCUACGCUCUCUCCUCCCCAGCCGGAAAGCAUCCUACAGGAGGACCAGGACCGCAGCAUCCCUGUGCUGGAAUGUUCUCAUUCAAAGAACUGAAUGAUCUUCCAAAGUCAAGGGAAUCGUGAGGGCACAGUCAUUUUUCUGUGGUAGAGGAAAGUCAUCCCAUACCCAAGAGAAGGAGGAGGAGGAAGAAGAGAAGGAGGAGGAGGACCUGAAAGCUGGGCGAUGGUUAGAGCAGUGAGAGUUUGUUUUUGAGAACACAGAAAUAAAUGUUUCAUGUUCAACCUCCA
rnacentral:lncRNA from 1 species